rnacentral:tRNA from 2 species
GGAGAGAUGGCUGAGUGGUUGAAGCCCGGUCUUGAAACCGGUAGUUUACUAUCGAGGGUUCGAAUCCCUCUCUCCUUU